rnacentral:rRNA from 1 species
GAUGAACGCUGACAGAAUGCUUAACACAUGCAAGUCUACUUGAUCCUUCGGGUGAUGGUGGCGGACGGGUGAGUAACGCGUAAAGAACUUGCCCUGCAGUCUGGGACAACAUUUGGAAACGAAUGCUAAUACCGGAUAUUAUGUGAGUUUCGCAUGAAAUUCAUAUGAAAGCUAUAUGCGCUGCAGGAGAGCUUUGCGUCCUAUUAGCUAGUUGGUGAGGUAACGGCUCACCAAGGCGAUGAUAGGUAGCCGGCCUGAGAGGGUGAACGGCCACAAGGGGACUGAGACACGGCCCUUACUCCUACGGGAGGCAGCAGUGGGGAAUAUUGGACAAUGGACCAAAAGUCUGAUCCAGCAAUUCUGUGUGCACGAUGAAGUUUUUCGGAAUGUAAAGUGCUUUCAGUUGGGACGAAGUAAGUGACGGUACCAACAGAAGAAGCGACGGCUAAAUACGUGCCAGCAGCCGCGGUAAUACGUAUGUCGCAAGCGUUAUCCGGAUUUAUUGGGCGUAAAGCGCGUCUAGGCGGUUUGGUAAGUCUGAUGUGAAAAUGCGGGGCUCAACUCCGUAUUGCGUUGGAAACUGUCAAACUAGAGUACUGGAGAGGUGGGCGGAACUACAAGUGUAGAGGUGAAAUUCGUAGAUAUUUGUAGGAAUGCCGAUGGGGAAGCCAGCCCACUGGACAGAUACUGACGCUAAAGCGCGAAAGCGUGGGUAGCAAACAGG